CUCACGCUGACAGCCUUCUGUAAGAGAAGGGUCCCCGCCCGUGCGUUAGCUGUGCGAGCAGGUGCUGAGAGAAGGACUGCAGAGGGGGACGGCUGGAUUCCCAACCAGGUCCGACAGAAACCCGGGAGUGGCGUGCGCCAUCUCAACGGGAUGAGCAGAUGGAGGUCGGAGGAGACACUGCUGCCCCAGCCCCCGGGGACGCGGAGGACUUGGAAGACGCGCGGCUCCCCAGUGAGGAGGCUGGAGACGGUGGAGGGAUGCACGAGAACCCGCUGGAUCCUGGAGACACGGGCCUGGAGGGAACAGGACCGGAGACGAAGGACCAGCCACCCGACCUGCUGUCACCAGUGCCCCAGUCAGAGACCCCAUCAGAGGUUCCAUCAUGCACCUGUGGGCUCUGGGGUCCUGCGGCCUCUGAAACUAGUCCCAUGGGUGACCCUGAGAGUGGCUCUGGGGGCCAGGGCGGGGACCCCAGUGACGAGGACUGGCGCAGCAAGCGGAAGCAUGUGUUUGUGCUGAGUGAGGCAGGCAAGCCUAUCUACUCGAGGUACGGUAGUGUGGAGGCACUGUCGGCUACCAUGGGUGUGAUGACAGCCCUCGUGUCCUUCGUGCAGAGUGCGGGAGAUGCCAUCCGCGCCAUCUACGCUGAGGACCACAAGCUGGUGUUCCUGCAGCAGGGCCCACUGCUGCUGGUGGCCGUGUCAAGGACUCCGCAGUCCGCAGCCCAGCUACGCGGGGAGCUGCUGGCUGUUCACGCACAGAUCGUAAGCACGUUGACUCGCGCAAGCGUGGCCCGCAUCUUUGCACGCAAACAGAACUACGACCUGCGCCGCCUGCUGGCUGGCUCGGAGCGCACCCUAGACCGGCUUCUGGAUAGUGUAGAGCAAGACCCAGGUGCGCUGCUCCUGGGCGCUGUGCGCUGCGUGCCCCUUGCUCGCCCACUGCGGGAUGCACUGGGUUCGCUGCUGCGACGUUGCACGGCACCUGGCCUGGCCCUGUCAGUGCUGGCGGUUGGCGGUCGACUGGUGACAGCAGCCCAGGAGCGGACCGUGCUGGCUGAGUGCCGGCUGGACCCAGCCGACCUGCAGUUGCUGCUUGACUGGGUGGGUGCACCGGCCUUUGCAGCAGGGGAGGCCUGGGCACCUGUGUGCCUGCCCCGCUUCAACCCCGACGGUUUCUUCUACGCCUAUGUGGCCCGCCUGGAUGCAAUACCUGUCUGCCUGCUGCUUCUUGGCACCAAUCCCGAGGCCUUCCAUGACAUGGCCACCUGCCGGCGCCUGGUAGAAGAGGGCAUGCACAACCUUGGUGCCAUGCGUGUCCUUGAGGAGGCGGCCAGUUUCUCUCAUGCCCCAUCCACCAAUGCCCCCGCCUACAGUGUGCAGGCUGUGGGGGCACCUGGCCUCCGGCACUUUCUCUAUAAGCCACUGGACAUCCCUGACCAUCACCGCCAGCUGCCUCAGUUUACCAGCCCGGAGCUGGAGGACCCCUACAGCAGAGAGGGGGAGCGGCAGCGCCUGUCCGACCUGUAUCACCGCCUGCACUCUCGCCUGCACAGCGCCUCCCGGCCCCUGCGCCUCAUUUACCAUGUGGCUGAGAAGGAGACUCUGCUAGCCUGGGUGACCUCCAAAUUUGAGCUCUAUACCUGCCUCAGCCCCCUGGUGACCAAGGCAGGGGCCAUCUUGGUAGUGACCAAACUCCUGCGCUGGGUGAAGAAAGAGGAGGAUCGGCUCUUCAUCCGUUACCCACCUAAGUACUCCACACCCCCCGCAGCUCCAGCUGCCUCUACAGACCAGGCUUCCCAUAAUGGCUUGUUCACCGGCCCUUGAGUGGGGAGUUCAAGAUGGCAGACCUGGGAAUGAGCACCUGUGCUCCCCACCCUGGAAAAGGGCAGGAGGAUGGGGGUUGGAGGUGGUGUCUGUGGCUGGUCCCUGUCUCCUUGGGCAGUGGGCAAGAUCAGAGGGCCUGCCCACCAAUGGGCCUGCCCAGAAAUGGUGGCAGGGUGACUGUACACCCUGUUUCCUCAGCCCCCGCAGCCACCUUCACAUCUGGGGAAGUACUCAGGCCUCCGUCUUCCCCUUCCUCUGAUGCUGCAGCCUUUGCCUGGUGCUGUCUCCUGCCAUCCUGGGCACCACACCCUCUGUCCUGCAUCAGGAGUCUGCCCCCUCAGUGGGGUCUUAGCCCUGCAUGUCCAGGGCUGGCCAAGGUCUCUUUGUGUGGCCCAGGUCCAGAACUGGGAAUGGAAGACAGCCUGUGGCCUGGACCCAGCCUGAGGAUAUUUUAAAGAAAGAUCUGUACAUAAGAGGCCUAAAACCAACCCCCACUAGGACGCUCCCCCAUCGUUCGUGUACUUGAUCUCUUCCCUGUCAGAAAAGCCCCAUCAGUGCUGGCCGCUGUCAGUGAGGUGGUGGCCUCCAGGGCCUCACCUGUCCGUGUGACCCCGAGCAAAGCACUCGACCGCACAUGGUGGCUGAGGACGAGUUUUUAAGUAGGGGUGCCCUUGGCUUUUAAGUAUCAUUCUUCUCAUCUAUGAAAUAGAUGACUAAGCUCUCACAGGCUGUUAAAUGAGGAUCUGUGAACAGAAAGACUCGAAUGCGUGCGUAUCACACACAGCACCUGCACACUUGUCCCACAGUGACAGCACAAGCAACCUGGAGAGGGACAACACGCAAGCGCCGUCCCACCGGGACCCUGGCUCUGGCCUUGGGUCGUGCCAUCCUGGGUCAUGGCCUCGUGGUGUGCGCAUGCGCUCUGUGCCCUAGCUGUCAGGGCCCGGGGCGCUCCACUUGCUGGGAGGAAACCCCUCUGCUCCUCACGCUGGUCAACCGCUGUGGGGACGCACGCUGCAGGCAUGCUCUCUGCACAGCCUUCUGCCCUCGCAUUUUAAACCAAUUGUUUAAGGUGCAUGUGCACAAAGAGGCACGUUGGAAAAUGGCGGGGAAACCGGAACCGCCAGAAAUUGCGGAGGAGGCUGAAGGUAGUAAGGGCAGGUGAGGGGGGAGCCUUCGUCCCUUUACAGUAACGAAAUGUUGAUAGCAGUAGUAAGAAAAGGUAAAAGUUUAAGCCUUUUAUUAAGACAAAGUGGAGAAAGAUGCAUAUGCUCAUCAUGUAGAUUGAUUUGCCAACUUUAUUGGAUAUAGUAGGUAUUUUAGAGAAAAUAGGCAAAAUGCAUCAGUAUACAUCACUUCAAACAAAAAAGGAGGUGGAUAUUCCCACAGAAAUCGCUCGGCUGCCGCCACAUCCACAAAUCCGCAGGGACUGCCGCUGUCAUCGCUGCGCCCCCACCCCGUACCGCAUCGCCCACGGACCCGGCAGUCUUCCUGGAGAAUGGCCUCCCCCGCAGACAGCUGCUUUUCCCCGGGGCAUUUUGUGGAUGAUGACACCCCACAUCCUAGUGAUAGGGAGAAAAAUGUCCUAGAGACGUUUGGAAAUUACAGUCAAACUAAAAGAUCUCCCAAGACAAUGAUCCCCCACUAUGCCGUACACAUUCUCAGAAUGUACAGAAAAUAACAUGAGGAAGGCCCAUGGAUCCAUCACUGUUUCAACAGUUGUCGACUUUCCAUCCUCCUUCCAUCUAUCGCACACUCUUCAAACCGCUAUAUUAAUAAAUACGUUCAAUUGCCUCUUUCCAGACCUAUCUAGGCAAACAUCACCAAUAAUUAUGAUCAUUUGCUUAUUUGUUUUCUACCCUAGGAUGAGAGCUCCAUGAGAAUAGACUAUUUAUUGCUGUUUCCCCAGCACUUAAAACAAUGCCUGCUUGGCAUAGAGUAGGUGCUCAGUAAGUUAUCGUAUGAAAAAUGGACCAACUUUAAGAUGGAGAAUGCUCGUAGAUUAAGGCCACACGUGCAAUACCAGCUUUCAACAAAGGACACAGAAAUAAGACAGAUAUAAAUAGAUCUCAUUUAUUAAGCACUUAACUAGCUGCUACUGUGCUGAAAAGCAGUGUUAGUAUCAAGCUUGCAAGUUAGUCAAAAUUAAAGUUAUAAUCAACUUUGCCAGCAGUGGAGAAAAUUGAAAAGCCUAUCAAGUUACCAUUAUCUCUAGUCCAUCAAAAUUGGCUUUAAAAUAAGAGGAGUAUAGUCUAGUAUUGAUUACUCAGGAGAAACGGGCCGUGUCUUGCCUCACUGGGAGAACUGACCAGUAAAGGCUUUGCUAGGAGCCCUUUGGCAGAAUAUUUUUAGCAUCUGAAAUGCUAUUCCAUAACUUCAGUCACCAUGCUUGGUAGUCAUAGGAGUAAACACAGAUGUCUGGUCCUGGAAUGGUCACCGGAGUAUCGUUGAUGGAAGCAAAAGACAAGGAGUAAUCAGGGAAAUGGCUAAUUGUGGGUGUAUAGAUAUUUGCAUGCAUAAUGUGGAAUGCUUGUGUGGAGGACAUUUCUUUUUUAAGUGGCAGAAAAAAUUCCAAUUUUAUUUGAAAUAAUUAAAAAUUAAUUUUUAAAAGGACAAGUCCAUGAUUUAUUGAUACAGAAUGAGCUUCCAAAGAGAUUAUAUUUUUAUGAGUGAAAAGCAAGGUAAAACUUUAAAAAAAAAAGAAGGGGGCAGUGUAAGUGCAGGCCUGUGUGUGUUGCACAGAAAAAUGUCUGAAGGCUGAAGGCCUAACUAAUGAGUCUCAAUAAGGGACUUAGAUUUUGGGGGUGUGCAAAGGUAGAGCACUUUUGAUACUGUUUUUUUUUUAUUUUAGGAAAAUGCAAGUAGUACUGUAUAUUUAAAAAUAUAUAAGGGAAAGGAAAAAUUCUGAAUGGCACUUGAGGAUCAUGUAUUCAUAUUGAUCAGUAGUGAUAUCCUGGUUUUAAUGGUUAUACUGUGGUUACCUGGUAGAGUCCCCUGUGUAUAGGAAAUACCCACUGGAGUAUUGAAAAAUAAUGGGCCAUGAAGCCUGCAAUUUAUGGCACAGAAAUGCUCGCAAAUGGCAAAUCUGAUACAAGGGCAAGUAGGAGCAUCAUUUCAGAUGAUUGCAAAAUAAUUAAAAAGGCGCAUACUCUACAGGCUGUUUUGUAACAUGGAUUUUUAAGAAUUUUUAUCAAGAUGUUAGUUGGAUUAUUUAAAAGAGUUACUGAUCUCCCGAGAUCUUACCCCAUGAGUAGGUCUAGAAAUGCAGUAGAGAGGAAAAACCACAUAAAGAGCUUUUGCAAAACAGUUGCAAAAGCUGGCUAUAAAAGACAUGUGGGGACAAUCAAGGGAAAAGGUAUGUUCUGGUUUUUUGAUAUUAUGUGAUGAUUGUUAAUCUUGUCUGUGUGAAUAUAGCAUUAGAAUCAUUUAAGAAAAUGUCCUCAGGUAGUUGAGACUAUUAGGAAAGUAACUGGGAAUGAAAUGUCCUGAAGCCUGGGGCUGCUUAGAAAUACUUCAGCACAGAAGCAGAUAUGGAUGAAUAUUACUGUCAGAUUUUGGCAGUGAGUAAGUCAGAGUUCAUCAUGUAUCCUCUCUACACUCAUGUAUGUUUAGAAAUUUUUAUAAUGAAAUAUUAGAAAAAAUAAUCACAAAUACCUUCCUUUGUAUUAAAGUGCUCUGAUUUUUUUUGUUUCAUUACCAAAUAUUGAGAGUAUUUAAAAAUUAAAAAGUCUCAACAGGAGACUUACCAACCUAUUAUUAUUGGUUAUAUCAAAGAAAGGAAGUAAGAUUUAGGGCCAAAGAGAGAAAAGGAAGUUUCAUUUUUAACUUCACAUACUUCUGUAGUGUUUGCAUGUUUUUAGAAUGUUGUUUGGGUAAGAAAGUAAAAAAAAAUACAUUUGCUAAAAGAUCUGAGUGUCUUCACCAAACUGUUGGCAAUUAUUAUUUCUAGAAAGGGGAGUGACCCAGGGAAGGGGCUCUUGGUGAGAGGAGGCUGCCUCGUGUUUGUGUCCGGCCUCCGCCGCCCGGCGGAGUCUGAGCCCCAGGAGUCGGUGGGGUGGGCGCGGGGCCCUUGCUCCCUGGGGAGGGGGGAGGAUUCAGGCUCUCUGGGCGGGGCCUCGACCGGGCUCCGCCCACCGGCCCCUGCUGGUUGCUCACCCAGAGGCUCAGGUGCUCUUGAGAAGCCCAGUGCACAAAUGGGUGGGUGUCAAGGCUACCCCGUCUCCACGGCCUCAUCCUGGAUUCCUGAAUCUCCUGUUUUAUCAACAGCGGCUAGAGUGAACGUGUUAAAAAUCCAUGCCAGGUUCGUGUCGGCCUCCUGCUGUUCAGCGGCCCUGCAUUCCUCAUGGGUUCCCGCCACCUCGGACAUGGACCUGCCUGCCUACCCUGACCCCUCCCCAUUCCCCCAGGUUCAGAUGUGAGUGGACCUGGGGGAGCUCGGCGUCGCCCAAAGGCUGAAGGGCGUGCCUGAGAGAAGUGAGCUGCAAAGUGACUGAACAUCCCCAGAGGGGCCGCAGGACAGGUGCACAGAGCGCAGCCGGACCAGCAGCGGGUCGGGUGGUAGGAGGGGGUGUGGCCGAGCACCUGCCUGAGACUCCAGGUGGGCCGGACCACUUCCCCCAGAAUCCACACUGGUCGAGUUCAGCCUGCGCGCUUCAGGCAGGUCACUUAACUUCUCUGUGCCUCAGUUGCCUCAUCUGUAAUGUACAGGGUUUUUUUGAGUGUUAAAUUGAUAACAUAUAGGAAGUGCUUAAAACAAGGCUUGGCACAUCAUGAGCGCUACGUUGGUGGGAGCCACCAUUAUUAUUGUGAAGAAUUUUCCAUAUUCUCAUGUGGUCAUCACCCCAGUACUUCUACCUGAUCAAUAGCAUGUAUUUUUGUCAGUAGAAGAAACUGAUGGUGACAUAACCACAACCAGGACAGAACAGGAACUUAAGCCCAGGUCUUCCUUCCUCGAGUCCAGAAUUCUUUCUGUUCCACCUGCUGUAGUGUUUCUCUUGCUCUGUCCACACGCAGGUUUGUUUGGUGGUUUCUCUUUGUCUUGUUUAAAAACAAAAUUCAACUGAAUACAUUUUAAGGGUCAUAAUUGGCUUUAUUCCACGGUUUGUGCCCUGGGCCGCAUCCUGUCUCGCAGAUAGAAAAGAGCUCCCAGGAGCUGUGCAAAAUGAAAGACUUUUAUAUUUUAUAGGGAAGAGUGGGAGCAAGACAGUUAUAUUAGAGAAAAAGGCUGGUUGGUUAUAAGGUCAGUUUCCUUUAGGGGAAGGCAGGGUCUCUCAGGAAGAUGACCCAGCUGAGCUGACUUGCAACUAACCAUCUUCAUUGGUACUUGCACAAUAAACCUUUGCUAAUUAAUCCUUAAGUGA